rnacentral:rRNA from 1 species
UACGGAGGAUGCGAGCGUUAUCCGGAUUUAUUGGGUUUAAAGGGUGCGUAGGCGGACGCUUAAGUCAGCGGUAAAAUUGCGGGGCUCAACCCCGUCGAGCCGUUGAAACUGGGUGCCUUGAGUGGGCGAGAAGUACGCGGAAUGCGCGGUGUAGCGGUGAAAUGCAUAGAUAUCACGCAGAACUCCGAUUGCGAAGGCAGCGUACCGGCGCCCAACUGACGCUGAAGCACGAAGGCGUGGGUAUCGAACAGG